CCACCAGACGCUUCUGGUUCUUCACUGUCGGCCGAGGGUUGUUGCUCUCCUUUGUGACGACCACCGGACUUGGAGUUUGUUCAGCCACUGGAUUUCCGACGUUAUCCGAUUUCAGCCACGUCCGGCAGUGACUCGACAGUUCGGGCAUUUAUGUUUGGGGCUUUUGGAAUUUGCGGUGGCGAUUUUGCUUCGGCUAAGGACCUCAAGGAAGAGGUUUCUAAGGACAUUGAUUUGGGAUGAGCACUUUGACGCAGAGGUUGUCUAGCUCGAUCUACAUUUGAGGCGGGUACC